GUAUUCACUAACACACAUAACCACGACAUUUACUAUGGGUUUACCAUAGUAACCAUAGUUUUACUCUGGUAUUUGUAGUUACUAACACACAAUAACCACGACAUUUACUAUGGGUUUACCAUAGUAACCAUGGUUUUACUCUGGUAUUUGUAGUUACUAACACACAGUAACCACGACAUUUACUAUGGGUUUACCAUAGUAACCAUAGUUUUACUCUGGUAUUUGUAUUUACUAACACACAAUAACCACGACAUUUACUAUGGGUUUACCAUAGUAACCAUAGUUUUACUCUGGUAUUUGUAGUUACUAACACACAAUAACCACGACAUUUACUAUGGGUUUACCAUAGUAACCAUAGUUUUACUCUGGUAUUUGUAGUUACUAACACACAAUAACCACAACACUUACCAGGAUUUUACCACAGUAACUGUGUUUUUACUCUACACUAUUUGUAAAGCACAGUAACCACUAAGUUUGCCAUGCCUUUAAUAUCUUUUUGUGAUGUAAUUGUAAUUCAGUGUUUUUUCUGUCUUGCAGUUACGUCGGAUUACAUACUCCACAACAACCUGUAAUCCAGCAGAUCUUUAAAGAAGCCAUCUCUUGUAAAAUCUCUCUCUCUCUCUCUCUCUCUCUCUCUCUCUCUCUCUCUCUCUCUCUCUCUCUCUCUCUCUCUCUCUCUCUCUCUCUCUCUCUCUCUCUCGCUCUGCUAGAAUUAACAGGGAACUUCAACUCCACGCUCCCAAUGCUGAUAUUGAAGAAGCUGUCAAGGGGGCUGAACAAGUCCUUCAAAGGAUCAACCCUUCACAGGAAGGCCUGUCAUGUGAUUUGAAUUUGACCAUCUUGUGCAUUUAUGAAGAAGACCAAAAGCUGCAAAGGCAAACACUUCCAAUGACGCUGAAUCUGAUGUGUACAGAUGAACUCAGGAGCCUACUAGAGUUGCCAAGGAACUUGUGCUUGAACUGAAGACCAGAAACGCAAAGAAAAUCAGUCAAACCAGUCCUAAAGAAAUGAGGAAUGAACAUGGACUUCUUGUGCCCCAAAAGAAAAGACAGAAAGCUCCUAAAAUGAGCAGAUAAGCUGUGCAUCAUCUCUGUGAUUUGGGAAGGAAAUGACUGAAUAUGAUGAAGCCAGAUGAUGAAGAUAUCGAUUGAAUGGCCACCGAGUGCAUCACUGCUACCUGAACCCAUCAGUUAUCUGCUGUGAAGACUGCAUUCACAAACCGCUCUACUGCGACAGCUCAGAUGUUACGGCCUGUAAAAGUAAACAUCACAGCUAAACAACGAGAGCUAGUUGUGGUGGGAUUCUUUUGGCCAAUAUCCCCAACAAGAAUCAAUGACAUCUAGACCAGGUGGAGUGUGAGGAGGACCGUCAGAGACUCCAGCCAGCCGAGCCAUGGAUUGCUCUCACUGUUACCAUCAGGCAGACGUUAUCAUAGAAUCUACACCAGCAGACAGUGAGACAAGUUCCUUUCACAGGCAAUCAGACUGAACUGAACUCAUACCAGUAAAACCAUACACACCCCACCAACCUCAUAUGCCCUGCACUCUUAUCAGUUAUGCUGACUGGACUCAAUAUUAUUAUGCACCUUGACAUUCUGUUUGCACUAAUUCAUACCGUGCUUUACUGCAGAGAUGUAUGUGUACUGUGAUUAUUAUUGUUUUCAAUUCAUGCUCUUUGUAUAGCAUAAUUUUUAACAUAUAUUGUUCUCUACCUGAAUUGAGUCCCUUAUAUAUGUGUGUUGCAUAUAUAUAUAUAUAUAUAUAUAUAUAUAUAUAUAUAUAUAUAUAUAUAUAUAUAUAUAUAUAUAUAUAUAUAUUCAGAAUUUGUAUUUCAUAUAUAUUCAUGAAUUAAUUCAUUUGUCAUCCAUACUGUCACGCUGCAGUCUGCACCCAAGACUUUCAUCACCUGUAUACUUGUGUUCAUUGUAUUGUGACAAUAAAGAUAUUUGAUUUAAAUUA